CUCAUAAUGUUAUACAAAGCAAAACCUGUGACAAAAAAAUACAAGUUAAAGAAAACGAAGAACAAAAUUAAACAAACGAAUUACAUUACAUGAAAAAAUACAGAAAAACAAUGAGAGAUGUUUUUGAUAAAUUUAUUUUGGUGAAUAGUCACAAGUAGUUAUGUGCAGUCUUGUUACUGCAUAUGACUAGAUAUGACUAUAUGUAGUCAACUAUAGUCACAUGUAGUUAUGUUCAUUCUUGUUACUAUAUGUGACUAUAUAUGACUACAUGUAUAUGACCACAUGUGACUAUUUAUGUAUAUAAAUAAAAUUCAUCUACAAACGUUCACAAUUGAAUCUAUAUAUGUAUAACUUUUAGACAAUGAAGUUAAGGAAUCCAAAUAUUUAUGCAUAUAUUAGUUCGAUAAGAUUGAGAAACAAAUCAAAUAUUCUCUGCAUGACAAGUGUUUUGUUUAUGAUGCACGAUUUCAUCUAGUGUAUCGUGAACGAAUUUGCACAAAGCCCUCAAUUUGGUAAAAAUCGACAAUAAGCAUGGUUGACAAUUUGAACAAUGUAAAAGACACGAGCAUGCAUUUACGUGUCUAAGUCACUGAAGAUAUUUGUGUUUGUGUUACGUAGAAAAAAGAAUAAAAGUAUGGUACUUCUUGAAGGAUAUUUUUACCGAUGAUGGACUCUGACAUUGUGUGGAACCUCGAUUGCUGCCAAACGAGAAAAGGAAAUAGUACGAAUGAUGGUUGUAAGAGUGAACAUCAAUGAAUGAAGACUAAGUAUGGUACGAGUUGCUCACCAUUUGCUGAAGAAGGUUUUGAACCUAAACAUUUAGAAGACGCAAGUUAGCACAAGUAUGAUUAGCGAUUAAUCAAGUCAACGUUUAUUAAACAACGAAAAGAAUAAUAAAUGAAGAAAAUUAAUGCUAAAAAGAGAUUGAAACUUGUAUGAAGC
rnacentral:lncRNA from 1 species